rnacentral:rRNA from 1 species
GGGAUUGCCUUAGUAACGGCGAGUGAAGCGGCAAAAGCUCAAAUUUGAAAUCUGGCGUCUUCGACGUCCGAGUUGUAAUUUGAAGAAGGCGACUUUGUAGCUGGUCCUUGUCUAUGUUCCUUGGAACAGGACGUCAUAGAGGGUGAGAAUCCCGUGUGGCGAGGAUCCCAGUUAUUUGUAAAGUGCUUUCGACGAGUCGAGUUGUUUGGGAAUGCAGCUCUAAGUGGGUGGUAAAUUCCAUCUAAAGCUAAAUAUUGGCGAGAGACCGAUAGCGAACAAGUACAGUGAUGGAAAGAUGAAAAGAACUUUGAAAAGAGAGUGAAAAAGUACGUGAAAUUGUUGAAAGGGAAGGGCAUUUGAUCAGACAUGGCGUUUGCUUCGGCUUUCGCUGGGCCAGCAUCAGUUUUAGCGGUUGGAUAAAUCCUCGGGAAUGUGGCUCUGCUUCGGUAGAGUGUUAUAGCCCGUGGGAAUACAGCCAGCUGGGACUGAGGAUUGCGACUUUUGUCAAGGAUGCUGGCGUAAUGGUUAAAUGCCGCCCGUCUUGAAACACGGACCUCCUGUGUGAAGUG